AUGGCGCUACCCCGCCGCGUCCAACAUGUGGCCGCGCUCCCCAUUGCUGGCCGCCGAGUCCGGCCCGUGGCCGCUCACACCGGCUGCCGUCGGCGGCCGCCGCUGCCCUGCCCGCAACUGCUUGCUGCAGCUGUGCCCCGCUGCUACCCGCACCCACCUUCGCCCCGCCGCUUCCCCGUGCGCUCUCCCAGCGCUCUCGCCUGUCGCCGCCGCCGUUUGCUUUUGCCGCUGCUCCUGCCCAACCCCGCACCCGUGCCAGCCCCUGCGCUGGCCACCGCUGCCCUGACCACCUCCACCCGCGCCCGACGUCGGCAACCGCCGCGCCUGCCCUGCUCUCCGUACCGGCCGUGGCCUUGCCUAGCGCCGCCCUUGGCCGUCGGCGCCCUGCUGUUGGCCUGGGCAAGCGCCCUGACGGGCUGGCAUGCGUCACCCGGUUCCGCCCGAACCAGCGCGCCCGAUCCAGUGCCCUAUGGGCCCCACGCUCCUGUUUUAUAA
rnacentral:rRNA from 1 species